UGGGAUGUUGUUAGCUAUCUAGUAGCACAU
rnacentral:piRNA from 1 species